AAGUGUUUUUGUAUUUUAUUUUUAUAUCCAUAUUAUAAAUUAACCUAACUUAAGAUGAUAAAUAAAUAAAGAGAAUAAUAAUAAUAAUAAUAAGCCCGCAGGGCAGCUUGUGGCGAGCUGUUGGGGAGUAACGACCCCACGGACCCGAGUGCUCCAGAGAGUCGGUCAGGUGGAACCCCAAGGGGACCCGCAGGACUCUCGGCUCUGGCUUGCCUUCAUUGGCCGUCCAGAGAGGAGUCGUUAGAGCUAUAUGCUCCAGGGGUGGAAGUGAAAUUUGCGUAAGCGCGAGUUGGCACAGUGGCUGUUUACAGCCACUGGGUAGAAAGCGGUGUACACCUCUCGACACCCCUGAGCCGCUCACACCGAUGUUGCGCCUGGUCGUCUUUACGACGACAGUUUCAGGGGCCCAUCUAGUCAGCGGCGAGUCACCACCUGCCUCGAUAACGUGU